rnacentral:tRNA from 1 species
GCGGGCAUCGUAUAAUGGCUAUUACCUCAGCCUUCCAAGCUGAUGAUUUUGGGUUCAAUUCCCGCUGCCCGCUCCA